rnacentral:rRNA from 1 species
AUUGAACGCUGGCGGCAUGCCUUACACAUGCAAGUCGAACGGCAGCACGGGAGCAAUCCUGGUGGCGAGUGGCGAACGGGUGAGUAAAGCAUCGGAACGUGCCCAGUCGUGGGGGAUAACGUAGCGAAAGCUACGCUAAUACCGCAUACGAUCUGUGGAUGAAAGCGGGGGACCGUAAGGCCUCGCGCGAUUGGAGCGGCCGAUGUCAGAUUAGGUAGUUGGUGAGGUAAAGGCUCACCAAGCCGACGAUCUGUAGCUGGUCUGAGAGGACGACCAGCCACACUGGGACGGAGACACGGCGCAGACUCCUACGGGAGGCAGCAGUGGGGAAUGUUGGACAAUGGGCGCAAGCCUGAUCCAGCAAUGCCGCGUGCAGGAUGAAGGCCUUCGGGUUGUAAACUGCUUUUGUACGGAGCGAAACGGCUUCCACUAAUACUGGGGGCUAAUGACGGUACCGUAAGAAUAAGCACCGGCUAACUACGUGCCAGCAGCCGCCGUAAAAC